rnacentral:tRNA from 1 species
GUGUCUGUAGCCUAGUGGUAAAAGGCAGCACUCUAGAUGCUGAGGUUGUGGGUUCAAAUUUCACCAGACACA